UGCGAGUUCAUUCAUCAUUUUUCAUUAUUCAUUUUCAAUAUUUUUCAUUGUUUUUUCACGUCGGUUGUAGUGUUUUUCCUCAUAAUAGAGGCCACGAAAGUUCGUUUCCGGUGGUUUUUGUGUUAUAGUAGUGGCGAACUCGCUGUUGUUUUCGAUUUCGUUAGAUGAUAAGCUUCGUUGAAAGUUGCCAAGUGUAUGAUAUCGGAAAUCAGACAAUCAAAGGCCGGUGGAAACAGAGUCAGAACAAUCAAAACUGAUCGCGAUAUCCGAUACGCCAGAUAUAGUUGAGUGUAGCUUGACAUCGACAAAAUUCAUCAAGAAAUCGUCACUAAAUCCAACUCCCAAGAUGAACGAUUCAUCGUGUAGAACAGUUAUUACGAAAUAGAUACAUCGAAGCUUCCACGAUGACAGUUACGUCGAAAAUUUUGAACACAAAAAGAAUACCAACGAGAGACUUCUGGAGAAGACUGGAAAUGGAACGAUGAUAGUACUCGUAUUUCACAUAAGAAUAUGAAAAGUACAUCGUGCCUGUAACCUGAAAUGAGUGCUUUUUGUCCGCGGAUUGACCUGUCAACGGAGCAGCUUUCAAUGCUUUCAUGGAGAUGAAUUGCAGAAUUUAACUAUCCACCUAUUUCAAGAAGAGAGGGUGGUCGAGAAGUCUCCGCUUAAAGCUUCAACUCACGACCGGAUAAGGUGAAAAAUGUACCGUUGCGCGGACUUGUUUCAAUGUCAACGUCAUUCGCAGGCAUCAAUGUAUCAAAAUGAUCAACUGGUUUGCGAUAGAUAGAUAAAAUUAUACUGGAAGAAUUUUCUGAAAAAAAUCCUACGUUCUUCGCAACUUAAUGAUGAAUACUUUAAGAUGGG